GACGAACCGUGCGAACGUUGUUCGGAAUCACUGGGCUUAAAGGGCGCGUAGGCGGCGUGACAAGUCACUUGUGAAAUCUCUGGGCUUAACCCAGAACGGCCAAGUGAAACUGUUGUGCUAGAGUGCAGAAGGGGCAAUCGGAAUUCUCGGUGUAGCGGUGAAAUGCGUAGAUAUCGAGAGGAACACCAGAGGUGAAGACGGGUUGCUGGGCUGACACUGACGCUGAGGCGCGAAAGCCAGGGGAGCAAACGGG
rnacentral:rRNA from 1 species